rnacentral:rRNA from 1 species
UACGUAGGGUGCGAGCGUUGUCCGGAAUUAUUGGGCGUAAAGAGCUUGUAGGCGGUCUGUCGCGUCUGCUGUGAAAAUCCGGGGCUCAACCCCGGACUUGCAGUGGGUACGGGCAGACUAGAGUGUGGUAGGGGGGACUGGAAUUCCUGGUGUAGCGGUGAAAUGCGCAGAUAUCAGGAGGAACACCGGUGGCGAAGGCGGUUCUCUGGGCCGGAACUGACGCUGAGGAGCGAAAGCGUGGGGAGCAAACAGG